rnacentral:rRNA from 1 species
AUUGAACGCUGGCGGCAUGCUUUACACAUGCAAGUCGAACGGUAACAGGCCGCAAGGUGCUGACGAGUGGCGAACGGGUGAGUAAUGCAUCGGAACGUGCCCAGUCGUGGGGAUAACGCAGCGAAAGCUGCGCUAAUACCGCAUACGAUCUAUGGAUGAAAGCGGGGGACCGUAAGGCCUCGCGCGAUUGGAGCGGCCGAUGUCAGAUUAGGUAGUUGGUGGGGUAAAGGCUCACCAAGCCAACGAUCUGUAGCUGGUCUGAGAGGACGACCAGCCACACUGGGACUGAGACACGGCCCAGACUCCUACGGGAGGCAGCAGUGGGGAAUUUUGGACAAUGGGCGCAAGCCUGAUCCAGCAAUGCCGCGUGCAGGAAGAAGGCCUUCGGGUUGUAAACCGCUUUUGUCAGGGAAGAGACGCUCUGGGUUAAUACCCCGGGGUAAUGACGGUACCUGAAGAAUAAGCACCGGCUAACUACGUGCCAGCCGCCGCGGUAAUAC